rnacentral:rRNA from 1 species
AGAGUUUGAUCAUGGCUCAGGAUGAACGCUAGCGGCAGGCUUAACACAUGCAAGUCGAGGGGUAUUGUUCUUCGGAAUGAGAGACCGGCGCACGGGUGCGUAACGCGUAUGCAAUCUACCUUUCACAGAGGGAUAGCCCAGAGAAAUUUGGAUUAAUACCUCAUAGUAUUGCGGAAUGGCAUCAUUCUGUAAUUAAAGUCACAACGGUGAAAGAUGAGCAUGCGUCCCAUUAGCUAGUUGGUAAGGUAACGGCUUACCAAGGCUACGAUGGGUAGGGGUCCUGAGAGGGAGAUCCCCCACACUGGUACUGAGACACGGACCAGACUCCUACGGGAGGCAGCAGUGAGGAAUAUUGGACAAUGGGCGCAAGCCUGAUCCAGCCAUGCCGCGUGCAGGAUGACGGUCCUAUGGAUUGUAAACUGCUUUUGCACAGGAAGAAACAACAUUACGUGUAAUGUCUUGACGGUACUGUGAGAAUAAGGAUCGGCUAACUCCGUGCCAGCAGCCGCGGUAAUACGGAGGAUCCAAGCGUUAUCCGGAAUCAUUGGGUUUAAAGGGUCCGUAGGCGGUUUGGUAAGUCAGUGGUGAAAGCCCAUCGCUCAACGGUGGAACGGCCAUUGAUACUGCCAGACUUGAAUUAUUAGGAAGUAACUAGAAUAUGUAGUGUAGCGGUGAAAUGCUUAGAGAUUACAUGGAAUACCAAUUGCGAAGGCAGGUUACUACUAAUGGAUUGACGCUGAUGGACGAAAGCGUGGGUAGCGAACAGGAUUAGAUACCCUGGUAGUCCACGCCGUAAACGAUGGAUACUAGCUGUUGGGAGCAAUCUCAGUGGCUAAGCGAAAGUGAUAAGUAUCCCACCUGGGGAGUACGUUCGCAAGAAUGAAACUCAAAGGAAUUGACGGGGGCCCGCACAAGCGGUGGAGCAUGUGGUUUAAUUCGAUGAUACGCGAGGAACCUUACCAAGGCUUAAAUGUAGAUUGACCGGUUUGGAAACAGACUUUUCGCAAGACAAUUUACAAGGUGCUGCAUGGUUGUCGUCAGCUCGUGCCGUGAGGUGUCAGGUUAAGUCCUAUAACGAGCGCAACCCCUGUUGUUAGUUGCCAGCGAGUCAAGUCGGGAACUCUAACAAGACUGCCAGUGCAAACUGUGAGGAAGGUGGGGAUGACGUCAAAUCAUCACGGCCCUUACGCCUUGGGCUACACACGUGCUACAAUGGCCGGUACAGAGAGCAGCCACUGGGCGACCAGGAGCGAAUCUAUAAAACCGGUCACAGUUCGGAUCGGAGUCUGCGACUCGACUCCGUGAAGCUGGAAUCGCUAGUAAUCGGAUAUCAGCCAUGAUCCGGUGAAUACGUUCCCGGGCCUUGUACACACCGCCCGUCAAGCCAUGGAAGCUGGGGGUGCCUGAAGUCGGUGACCGCAAGGAGCUGCCUAGGGUAAAACUGGUAACUAGGGCUAAGUCGUAACAAGGUA